UGGCGGUGCGCCUUAUGCAUGCAAGUCGAGCGAAGCUUUUAGUAGUUUACUACAGAAAAUGACUGAGCGGCGAACGGGUGAGUAACGCGUGAGCAAUCUACCUUAGUUACAGGGAUAGCCCGAGGAAACUCGGAUUAAUACCUGAUAUUCUUUACAUUUCGCAUGAAAUCAAAAGGAAAGGUCAGCCGAACUAAGAUGAGCUCGCGUUCUAUCAGCUAGUUGGUGAGGUAAAAGCUCACCAAGGCAACGACGGAUAGCUGGUCUGAGAGGACGAUCAGCCACACUGGGACUGAGACACGGCCCAGACUCCUACGGGAGGCUGCAGCAGGGAAUAUUGCGCAAUGAGCGAAAGCUUGACGCAGCGACACCGCGUGUGGGAUGACGGAUCUAGGUUUGUAAACCACUUUCAGGAGGGAAGAAAAUGACGGUACCU
rnacentral:rRNA from 1 species